UUUUUUUCCCCCCCCCCCAGUAUGAUUUACUAACAUGCCACUGAGAUCAGCAGCUAGCUGGUCUGUCUGAGUGCGGUGCUUUGCAGCCCACUUUGCCGUAAAUCUGAGGAGCUCUCUGCAAACAGCCUCUUUAUGACAGAGAACAAGGUGCUGCGGUGCAUACGUGCAUGUGCUGUAUGCAGUCGUGGGAAGUAACAAAGUACAAAAACAUUGUUACUGCAAUGUACUGCUGCUUGUUACUUUUUCGACCUCAGAUGACGACUCCACAUAAAAAAAUGCUAAUCGAGAGAUGUAAAGUCAUCAACUACAGUCUCAGAGCACCUUUCAGCACGUUUCCAGCUACCUCAUCCCGCCCGCCAUGGCAGUCUAACCUGAUGAAUCUACACACGCAUCUCCCAGCUGCACAGCUCACAGGCUUCUUUCAGCAACUGAACCUGCCAACAGCUUGAGCGCUAAUCUCCAGUGAUUUCUCUCCGAGUCAUUUUCUUUAUUGCCUUUUGAAUGUAAAAGUUGCUGACUGAUACUUCUGUUCUUCCACUUUCCAAAUCUCUUUACACACCUUUUCUCAAAAUGAGUGGAAGAAUAAAAGAAAAAAAAUGA